UGCAGUCGACGCUCGUAGCAAUACGGGAGUGGCGGACGGGUGAGUAACGCGUGGGAACGUGCCCUGAGGUACGGAAUAACUGCGGGAAACUGCAGCUAAUACCGUAUGAGCCCCGCAAGGGGGAAAGAUUUAUCGCCUUGGGAGCGGCCCGCGUCGGAUUAGCUAGUUGGUGGGGUAACGGCCUACCAAGGCUUCGAUCCGUAGCUGGUCUGAGAGGACGAUCAGCCACACUGGGACUGAGACACGGCCCAGACUCCUACGGGAGGCAGCAGUGGGGAAUCUUGCGCAAUGGGGGCAACCCUGACGCAGCCAUGCCGCGUGAAUGAUGAAGGCCUUAGGGUUGUAAAGUUCUUUUGCCCGUGACGAUGAUGACGGUAACGGGAGAAUAAGCUCCGGCUAACUUCGUGCCAGCAGCCGCGGUAAUACGAAGGGGGCUAGCGUUGUUCGGAAUUACUGGGCGUAAAGCGCGCGCAGGCGGUUCGAUAAGUUAGGGGUGAAAUCCCCGGGCUCAACCCGGGAAUGGCCUUUAAGACUGUCGAGCUAGAGGACGAGAGAGGUGAGUGGAAUUCCCAGUGUAGAGGUGAAAUUCGUAGAUAUUGGGA
rnacentral:rRNA from 1 species